rnacentral:rRNA from 1 species
CAGUAGCCGCGGGAAUACGUAAGUGGCAAGCGUUGUCCGGAAUUAUUGGGCGUAAAGGGCUCGCAGGCGGUUUCUUAAGUCUGAUGUGAAAGCCCCCGGCUCAACCGGGGAGGGUCAUUGGAAACUGGGAAACUUGAGUGCAGAAGAGGAGAGUGGAAUUCCACGUGUAGCGGUGAAAUGCGUAGAGAUGUGGAGGAACACCAGUGGCGAAGGCGACUCUCUGGUCUGUAACUGACGCUGAGGAGCGAAAGCGUGGGGAGCGAACAGGAUUAGAUACCCGCGUAGUCCCUGUCUCUUAUAC